AUAUGCUUGUCUCAAAGAUUAAGCCAUGCAUGUCUAAGUAUAAGCAAUUUAUACGGUGAAACUGCGAAUGGCUCAUUAAAUCAGUUAU
rnacentral:tRNA from 1 species